AACGCACAUUGCGCCCGCCAGUAUUCUGGCGGGCAUGCCUGUUCGAGCGUCAUUACAACCCUCAAGCGCCCCUGGAAACGGGAAUCGGGGCUUGGUGUUGGGGACCGGCCACGGGUGCCCUGCUGCUUCUGUAGCAGGCGCCUGGCCGCCCCCGAAAUGAAUUGGCGGCCUCGUCGCGGCCUCCCUCUGCGUAGUAGUAUAAACCUCGCAGCUGGAGCGCGGCGCGGCCACUGCCGUAAAACGCACCAAACUUUUUACAGUUGACCUCGAAUCAGGUAGGAAUACCCGCUGAACUUAA
rnacentral:misc_RNA from 1 species